UACGUAGGUCCCGAGCGUUGUCCGGAUUUAUUGGGCGUAAAGCGAGCGCAGGCGGUUUAUUAAGUCUGGUGUAAAAGGCAGUGGCUCAACCAUUGUAUGCAUUGGAAACUGGUAGACUUGAGUGCAGGAGAGGAGAGUGGAAUUCCAUGUGUAGCGGUGAAAUGCGUAGAUAUAUGGAGGAACACCGGUGGCGAAAGCGGCUCUCUGGCCUGUAACUGACGCUGAGGCUCGAAAGCGUGGGGAGCAAACAGG
rnacentral:rRNA from 1 species